UAGGGAAUCUUCGGCAAUGGACGAAAGUCUGACCGAGCAACGCCGCGUGAGUGAAGAAGGUUUUCGGAUCGUAAAACUCUGUUGUUAGAGAAGAACAAGGACGGGAGUAACUGAACGUCACCUGACGGUAUCUAACCAGAAAGCCACGGCUAACUACGUGCCAGCAGCCGCGGUAAUACGUAGGUGGCAAGCGUUGUCCGGAUGUAUUGGGCGUAAAGCGAGCGCAGGCGGUUUCUUAAGUCUGAUGUGAAAGCCCCCGGCUCAACCGGGGAGGGUCAUUGGAAACUGGGAGACUUGAGUGCAGAAGAGGAGAGUGGAAUUCCAUGUGUAGCGGUGAAAUGCGUAGAUAUAUGGAGGAACACCAGUGGCGAAGGCGGCUCUCUGGUCUGUAACUGACGCUGAGGCUCGAAAGCGUGGGGAGCAAACAGG
rnacentral:rRNA from 1 species